AUUGAACGCUGGCGGCAUGCUUUACACAUGCAAGUCGAACGGCAGCGCGGGGCAACCUGGCGGCGAGUGGCGAACGGGUGAGUAAUAUAUCGGAACGUACCCAAGAGGUGGGGGAUAACGUAGCGAAAGUUACGCUAAUACCGCAUACGAUCCAAGGAUGAAAGCAGGGGACCGCAAGGCCUUGUGCUCCUGGAGCGGCCGAUAUCUGAUUAGCUAGUUGGUAGGGUAAAGGCCUACCAAGGCGACGAUCAGUAGCUGGUCUGAGAGGACGACCAGCCACACUGGAACUGAGACACGGUCCAG
rnacentral:rRNA from 1 species